rnacentral:rRNA from 1 species
GUGGGGAAUCUUGCGCAAUGGGCGAAAGCCUGACGCAGCCAUGCCGCGUGAAUGAUGAAGGUCUUAGGAUUGUAAAAUUCUUUCACCGGGGACGAUAAUGACGGUACCCGGAGAAGAAGCUCCGGCUAACUUCGUGCCAGCAGCCGCGGUAAUACGAAGGGGGCUAGCGUUGCUCGGAAUUACUGGGCGUAAAGGGCGCGUAGGCGGACAGCUUAGUCAGAGGUGAAAGCCCAGGGCUCAACCUUGGAAUUGCCUUUGAUACUGGCUGUCUUGAGUAUGGGAGAGGUGAGUGGAACUCCGAGUGUAGAGGUGAAAUUCUUAGAUAUUCGGCAGAACACCAGUGGCGAAGGCGACUCACUGGCCCAAUACUGACGCUGAGGCGCGAAAGCGUGGGGAGCAAACAGGAUUAGAUACCCUGGUAGUCC